rnacentral:rRNA from 1 species
AUUAAACGCUGGCGGCAUGCCUUACACAUGCAAGUCGAACGGCAGCACGGGGGCAACCCUGGUGGCGAGUGGCGGACGGGUGAGUAAUGCAUCGGAACGUGCCCUGAAGUGGGGGAUAACGCAGCGAAAGCUACGCUAAUACCGCAUAUUCUGUGAGCAGGAAAGCAGGGGAUCGCAAGACCUUGCGCUUUGGGAGCGGCCGAUGUCGGAUUAGCUAGUUGGUGGGGUAAAGGCCUACCAAGGCGACGAUCCGUAGCGGGUCUGAGAGGAUGAUCCGCCACACUGGGACUGAGACACGGCCCAGACUCCUACGGGAGGCAGCAGUGGGGAA